ACAGAGGUCUCAAGCGUUGUUCGGAUUCAUUGGGCGUAAAGGGUGCGUAGGCGGCAUGGCAAGUCGGGAGUGAAAGCCCGGGGCUCAACCCCGGAGGGUCUCUCGAAACUGCCAAGCUAGAGUGCGGAAGAGGCAACUGGAAUUCCCAGUGUAGCGGUGAAAUGCGUAGAUAUUGGGAAGAACACCGGAGGCGAAGGCGGGUUGCUGGGCCGACACUGACGCUGAGGCGCGAAAGCCAGGGGAGCAAACGGGA
rnacentral:rRNA from 1 species